rnacentral:rRNA from 1 species
UCGCGGCCUAUCAGCUUGUUGGUGAGGUAAUGGCUCACCAUGGCUUCGACGGGUAGCCGGCCUGAGAGGGUGACCGGCCACACUGGGACUGAGACACGGCCCAGACUCCUACGGGAGGCAGCAGUGGGGAAUAUUGGACAAUGGGCGGAAGCCUGAUCCAGCAACGCCGCGUGAGGGAUGACGGCCUUCGGGUUGUAAACCUCUUUCAGUACCGACGAAGCGCAAGUGACGGUAGGUACAGAAGAAGCACCGGCCAACUACGUGCCAGCAGCCGCGGUAAUACGUAGGGUGCGAGCGUUGUCCGGAAUUAUUGGGCGUAAAGGGCUCGUAGGCGGUUUGUCGCGUCGGGAGUGAAGACGCCGUGCUUAACACGGCGCUUGCUUCCGAUACGGGCAGACUAGAGGUAUUCAGGGGAGAACGGAAUUCCUGGUGUAGCGGUGAAAUGCGCAGAUAUCAGGAGGAACACCGGUGGCGAAGGCGGUUCUCUGGGAAUGACCUGACGCUGAGGAGCGAAAGUGUGGGGAGCGAACAGGAUUAGAUACCCUGGUAGUCCACACCGUUAACGUUGGGCGCUAGGUGUGGGGUCCAUUCCACGGAUUCCGUGCCGCAGCUAACGCAUUAAGCGCCCCGCCUGGGGAGUACGGCCGCAAGGCUAAAACUCAAAGGAAUUGACGGGGGCCCGCACAAGCGGCGGAGCAUGCGGAUUAAUUCGAUGCAACGCGAAGAACCUUACCUGGGUUUGACAUACACCCUGCCGCCUCAGAGAUGGGGCUUCUUUUGGGGGUGUACAGGUGGCGCAUGGCUGUCGUCAGCUCGUGUCGUGAGACGUUGGGUUAAGUCCCGCAACGAGCGCAACCCUCGUUCUAUGUUGCCAGCACGUAAUGGUGGGGACUCAUAGGAGACUGCCGGGGUCAACUCGGAGGAAGGUGGGGAUGACGUCAAGUCAUCAUGCCCCUUAUGUCCAGGGCUUCACGCAUGCUACAAUGGCCGGUACAAAGGGCUGCGAUCCCGUAAGGGGGAGCGAAUCCCAAAAAGCCGGUCUCAGUUCGGAUUGCGGUCUGCAACUCGACCCCAUGAAGUCGGAGUCGCUAGUAAUCGCAGAUCAGCAACGCUGCGGUGAAUACGUUCCCGGGCCUUGUACACACCGCCCGUCACGUCACGAAAGUCGGCAACACCCGAAGCCGGUGGCCCAACCCUUGUGGAGGGAGCCGUCGAAGGUGGGGCUGGA